rnacentral:rRNA from 1 species
UACGUAGGGGGCUAGCGUUGUCCGGAAUCAUUGGGCGUAAAGGGCGCGUAGGCGGCCAUGCGUGUCUUCCGUGAAAUCCCUCGGCUUAACUGAGGACGUGCGGGAAGAAACUGCAAGGCUUGAGUCCGGGAGAGGGGGGUGGAAUUCCCAGUGUAAGGCGGUAAAAUGCGUAGGAUAUUGGGGAGGAACACCGGGUGGCGAAGGCGGCCCCCUG